rnacentral:rRNA from 1 species
GACAGAGGGUGCAAACGUUGUUCGGAAUUACUGGGCGUAAAGGGCGCGUAGGCGGUGUGUCAAGUCAGGCGUGAAAGCCCCGGGCUCAACCUGGGAACCGCGCUUGAGACUGGCACGCUCGAGUUCGGGAGAGGAUGGUGGAAUUCCCAGUGUAGAGGUGAAAUUCGUAGAUAUUGGGAAGAACACCGAUGGCGAAGGCAGCCAUCUGGACCGACACUGACGCUGAGGCGCGAAAGCGUGGGGAGCAAACAGG